GGGCACUGGUAGCCAGAAGGUGGGUUGAGCCCGCACUCCACCAGCAGCUGCAAAGCGAUGGGAAGGAAGAGGUUGAUGUUGAGGAGCUUGGCUCUGAUCACGGUGCAGAGACACAGUGCAGCGUCAAGGUCAGCCAACCCAUUCAGCAGUGGGCAGCACUUGUCUUUGGCAUCAUGCCCGAUUCCAAUGUGCACCAGACCACUUAGGAGGUCGACGCAGCCUCCGAGCUUCAGCGUAUCGAUCGGGCACGUCGGCGCUGACGGAGGCGGUGUUGGAGGAGGGUAUGGGACUGGUGGAGAUGGCAAAGGUGGGCUGGGCGGUAAAA
rnacentral:misc_RNA from 1 species